rnacentral:rRNA from 1 species
CCCUUAGAUGUUCUGGGCUGCACGCGCGCUACACUGAUGCAUGCAACGAGUUUAUAACCUUGCUCGAAAGGGCUGGGUACUCUUUGAAAAUGCAUCGUGAUGGGGAUAGAUUAUUGCAAUUAUUAAUCUUCAACGAGGAAUUCCUAGUAAGCGCAAGUCAUCAGCUUGCACUGAUUACGUCCCUGCCCUUUGUACACACCGCCCGUCGCUCCUACCGAUUGGGUGAUCCGGUGAAUUAUUCGGACCGCCACGCACUUCUGGUGCGAGGCGGAAAGUCUUGUGAACCUUAUCACCUAGAGGAAGGAGAAGUCGUAACA